AUAAGCUUCAUAUAUAUUUUUUAAAAUAUUGUUAACAAAAGAUAGAAAUGUAGAGCAAUUGAGUACCUUAUUUUAUUAUUCAUAACUAUAAAAAGUACCCUGGUAAGCUAGCCUUCUGAUCUUGACACAAGACAAUAACAAAAACAAAGAGAAAAGAACAUCUUCAAACACCAGUACAUAAAUAAAACAAGCACAAAGUGAGAUACACAAACAAAUUUUAUGCUACUGCAUUCAAUCAGAGGCCACCCACUGUUCACGGCGAUGUUUGAGAUAAACCAAAUGUUCAUCCCGAUUAGGAAAGUUCUCUUCAAUUUCAGGGACUUGCUUGAAAUUUUCAAACCACGUAUGCAGGCUAGGGAAUUUGUGUGAAUCAAACAGUUUAACUCCCACUACAUCUCCAAUGACUUGCAUCCAAUAAAGCAUUGAACCAAAUGCAAUGUCAACUAAGCCAAUAUUGUCUCCAUUGAAAAAAUUCCUCUCUCGCAAGCCAUGUUCUUCAAGGGUUUGUAGGAUUUCCAAGAUUUCCUUCUUUGCAUUCUCUAGUUCUUGUCCAGUAAUGCUACGAAACAAUUUCAAAAUAGCAACAACCUGCCACAAUAAUUUUUUUUUUAAAUCUAAAUUAUCUCCACAUGAUUAAUACUAAGCUCGAAAACUUAGACAAUGUGUACACACGUCACAAUAUCCUUUAAUUAAAGGUUUGAUAAGUCAAUUAAGAGAGUUAGUAAAUUCAUUACUUUUUCCUUAAAUGUUUUGAAAAUAAUCAAAAUCCCCCGUAUGGUUAAAAACAGUUAAGUUUAACGUUUUGUGUCUUUCAGUAAUUUACACCCGAGGAAGUUAAUCCACUAAUGAUUUAUAAAAAUUGCUAGAGAAAAAAUAGUGAAGGACCAAAAAGUUGAAAGUUAAGGAAUUUUUCACGAAUAAAUUAUGAAAAAGGCCCUUGAGCAGCUAGGCUCGACUGACUAUGAACGUGCUUUACGUGCAUCAUCUGAGUAAUAGAGAAUAAGAGUUGGUGGUUUAGUGGGUGAAGUUUCUUAUUAUCAUGAUCUCAUCUAAACCAUAAAAUAAAUAAACAAAUUUGAAAAGAAUACACUUAUAAACGGGAUUGCUAGAGUUGUGGUGCGAACCAGCUUGUCUUCGGCGAAUUUAAUCCAAAAUCGAGCAAGAGCUCUAUCAUAAGGAUUAUUUGGCAUCAAGGGAUUCUGUGGCCACGUCUCUUCAAUGUACUCGAGAAUAAUCAUGGACUCACAAACAGGUUUUCCGCCAUGGACAAGCACUGGGAUCUUCUUGUGAACUGGAUUAUACUUCAAAAGCAAAUCACUUUUGUUUGAGAGAUCUUCUGCAACAAACUCGUAUGGCACGCCUUUCAAUUUCAGAGCCCAAAUCACUCUGCAAACAAAUGGACUCAGCAAUCGCCCAUGAAGUUUCACCUCAGCCAUGUUAAUUCUAAGAUUGAAUUUGAUGUUGAGUAUAGCUGAUAACUCAUUGCAUAUGUUUGUGAAUUUAUAGUGACUUAUGGAAUGUGCUUCCUUUAGCAAUUAGCAGAAGGCUUCAAAUUUCCAUUAAUAAAACGAUUAAUGAUGAAUUCAAGGGACUAAUAUAUUUCAACAAAAUAAAAUUUUCAAAGUUGUGUGCAAAUUAAUUACGUAUAUAUUUGGAGGGUUAAUAUAAACAAGUCAGCUGAUAACCGCGGAUCAAUUAAUCAAAUUUUUGGCAUUUGUUUCCCAUUUAAUAUCUUUGCGUCAUGGAUGAUGAUUAUGGAUCAAUUAGUCAAAAAGACACUUUCCUUUUGCGCACUGGACCGCACACGGCACACAUAGCAAUUUGUUAUAAAAAAAUUCAAUUAAAAUUACUUUUUAGUUUUUUUCUUCAAUUUUCUAUCUAACUUAGUCCAUGUUUAGUACGAAGUAUCUACCGGCUAAAAGUACUUGAUUAUUUGAUUUCAAAAUUUAGUGUUGUUUGGUUGGAUUUUGAGUAGAGCUUUUGAAUAUUAAAGAAGCUAUUCUAUUUCUACUAGCGAAACUUUAAAUUUUAGAUUUUUUAGAACAAAGGUUGUAGAGCUUAUUUAAAAAAUAAAUUAUUUGAAAUACCCUUUAUUUAUUUAAUAAUCUUAUUCUAUUUCUUUCAUUUUUAAAUUUUUUUUAUUGUUUAGCCUAAUGGCAACUCAAUACCCUCCUCUCCCAUGUGAACAAAGUUCGAACCCUAAACCUCUUGUUUUUAGUUAUAUGACAACUACAAAUUAAACCAUUCCUUUUAUAAUAUAUAACUUUAAAAGUUGUCAAUUAAAGUAAUUUUACAAUUUUAAUUAAAAACUCUUAGUAACAAUCAAAUAACUAAUAAUUAAUUUAGUAAAAAUCUCUAUUUGAAUAUGUUCUAUUUGAAAAGUUAUUCAAAAUGAAGCAUAAUCUUAUUAGCGAAACUGUAAGUUACGAUGAUCAAUUUGGGGGAGGGACUACCUGUUGGAAUAAUAAUCUCUUAGUGAGAACCAUCACCUAUAAUCCAAAAAUAUUUUUGUUAUACCAUUAAGAAUCAAUUACAGAAUAUGCAGAAGCAUACUCGAAUUCAUAAUGCCCAAUUGCUUUCUAUGGAUGCGUGGUUAAUCUUCUAUAUCAACAUGUUAUCUCAGAGAAUCCUUUAAGUUUGUCACUGCACUUUCUCUAAUAAUGGGAUUUCAGAAGAGAAUAGAACAAUGAUACGUGUGACACGGGCAUUAUAAUCACUAAUAUAGACAAUUUUUUCUAUUGUAUUUAAAUAUUCCUAUUUUAGCCCAUCAUUUAGAAAUAGAAAUUAUCCUUAAGGCUUUAUACAUUAAAGAUUCACACCUUAUUAGAUAUAUUAAAGCCCAAUUAAAGCCCAAAUUACCGUAUACCUUGAUAAAUUACUUUUAAUUUAUCAAAUAUGUUAAUAAAUUACUUUUAAUUGGGCUUAACCUUAUAUGAUAGUUUAGAACACAUAAUUUUUAAAUAUAAAUUAUUUAAAUAGACUUUAAAAUAGUAGAGUUUUUACCCCAAAAAAAUAGUUGUCUGAUUCAUUGCUUGUCAAAAGAGCUUUACAAAUUAUUAAAUUAAUUUAGUAGAUAAGUUUUUUAAGUUAUAUUAUGAAAUAGGGAGAUUGCCACUUCCCCCUACAGUAAUUUGCAUAUACUAUUUACCCCCUUACUGUUUUUAUAAUGGCCAAAAAUCCCCCUGACAACAUAAAUUUAUAAUAUUACCAUUAUUUUUAAUUAUUCUUUUAUUUACAUUUAUUUUAAAUUAAAUAAAUUACAUGAAUAGAAACUAAAUAAAAAAAUUAAGUACUAAAAAUAAGAAAUAUAUGUGCUGAUAUGAGAAAAAAAUUAAUAAUAAAAUUUUUUUCUUGUAAUUAUUUAUUUUGUGAACAUUUUCUUAUAAUAAACAUUUUGUAAUAUUUUAAAAUUAAAUGUAAAAAGUAUAGGUAAAAUAUUUUAUUAUUUAUCUUAUAAUAAAUUUUUAUUUGUCAUUCAAAUUUUCUCAUAAUAAGUUUUUUUUAUCAUUUUAUAAUAACUUUCUUAUAUAUUUAUUAUAAGAAAUUUUCACAAAAUAAAUAAGUACAAGAAAAAAAAUUUAUUAUUAAUUUUUUUUCUCAUAUCAAAACAUAUAUUUCUUAUUUUUAAUGCUUAAUUUUUUAUUUAGUUUCUAUUCAUGUGAUUUAUUUAAUUUAUAAUAAAUGAAAAUAAAAGAGUAGUUGAAAAUAAGGGUAAUAUUAUAAACUUAUGCUGUCAGGGGGAUUUUUGGCCAUUAUAAAAACAACAUGGGGGAAAAUGGUAUAUGUUGAUUACUGUAGGGGGGAAAUUGGCAAUCUCCCUACGAAAUAUAUAUGGAUAAAAUAAGAAUGUAAAAUAGAUAAUGAGCAUAUUAGACAAUCUAACAUUUAAAAAAAACACUCUAAUCUCUACUCUCAAAAGUUUAAAAUUUAAGCUCUUAUUAAUAGAGUCAAAAUAACUUAUUUAAUUCUUAAAAGCUCGACUGAAAAUAAAACCAAACAACAAUAAAAAUUUAAAAAAAAAUUGAGAUUAAAUAAGUACUUAUAACCUUUAAAUAAAUCAUAUCAAAUAUGCAUUAUAUAUUAUAUCUUAAAGACUUGAACCGAUCCAAAUAUUAGGUCCACGAAGCCAAUAUUGUCUCCAUUGAAAAAUUUCUUCUCUCCUAAGCCAUAUUUUUCAACAGUUGGAAGCAUUUCCAAGGCUUCCUUCAUUGUAUUCUCUAGAUCUUGUCCGUUGGUGAAAAAAACAUUUUCGAAACAGCUGCACCCUGCCACUAUUUUUCUUUUUCAUUUUUUUAAUUGCUAUGUAUUUAAUAAAUUAGGAUCAUCCCUUUCUCUCAUAUUCUUUAACGAUGCUGAAUUCACAAGUGAUCCUCUUUUCAAUUUAAAAGAGGGGUCAUGUUUUUAUUAAUUUUCAAAUUAUAUCUAUAUUUUGAUUAAUUAAAAAGGCUACCUAACGAGAUCAUUAAUUUGGUCAACUACUCAGAUAACCGUGGAUCAAUUAUACAAUUGACAUUUCUUUCCCAAUUUAAUAUUUGCGUCAUGCAUGAUCGAUGCUUUAUUUAACUUAUUGCGUCAUGCAUGAUGAUCAUGGGUCAGUUGUAUUUGAGUGCCUAGGUGCCCAGCAAAUCAAGGUUCCCAGCUGCUCUCUUUGACUAUACCUUUGAAACACAAGUACUUGCUUUCAUUUUUGUUUGAUAGUAGAAAAAUGGUCAAAAUCAUUGCAUUUAUUGUGAAUCGUUAGAACAGAUCUACAAUGCAUAAUAAGAAAAAUUACUUAAAAAAUGUAAGUUCUAGAUAAGUAGAUACAAAUUAAGUUCAAUUCUUACUUCGUCAAGAUAAAACAUCAUAAACCUUGUAAAUUUAACUUACAAACAUCGAAACUUAACAAAACAUUUGAAGUUGCAUAACAGUAUAGAAACACAAGCAAAAAGAGAUGCUGAAUAAUAGAACUCGAAAUUUUUAUUGGGUGGGAUAUGAUCACGCUAGCAUAAUAUUGUGCUAUUUCGAGAACUCACAAUACUUUCUCGAUAAAUAGUAUCUGCAAGAUUUGAGUUGUUAAAAGUUAUAUUAAUUAGAGAAACUUACAGCGCAUCUCCACAAAUUAGUGAGGGUAAAUUUAAAAUGAGUCCCGAUAGAAACCUGAUCAUAAAGGCAUCAAUACAAGUGUAGCAUAUUAAAAAAAAACAUAUUUUCAAACAAAAUAAAAAUACAACCAUUGGAUAUGAAUGUUUACAAAAGUAGUGGGUGGAAAUAUCACCACCCUCACCCUCAUAUAUAUAUAUAUAUAUGUGUGUGUGUACGCGCGCGCGCAUGUGUGUAUUGUUUGUGGAAUGUUGUACCCUUAGAAUUUUUUUUUAAUUUUUAAAUAUCAUUAAAAGAAAGAUAGAAAUUAAUAUAUACAAAUUGAGUCCCUUAUUUUAUUAUUCAUAUCUAUUCAAAGUACCCCGGUGACCCGGUCAGCUAGCCUCCCGAGCUUGGAACUAGACAAUAACAAAAACAUAGAAAAAAAGAGCUGCUUUAAACACCAAUACAAGAACAAAACAAGCACACGUGAGCCAUACAAACAAACUUUGUGCUACUGCAUUCAAGCAGAGGCCAACAGCUCUUCACGGCGACGUUUGAUAUAAACAAAAUAUUCAUCCCUAUUAGGAAAGUUUUCCUCAAUUACAGGGAUUUGUUUGAAAUUUUCAAACCAGGCAUGCAAGCUAGGAAAUUUGUGUGAUUCAAAUGGUUUAACUCCCACUACGUCUCCAAUGACUUGCAUCCUAAAAAGCAUUGAACCAAAUGCUAUGUCAACUAAGCCAAUAUUGUCUCCAUUGAAAAAAAAAUUCUCUCCCAGCCCAUGUUCUUCAAGGGUUUGUAGGAUUUCCAAGAGUUCCUUCGUUGCAUUCUCUAGUUCUUGUCCAGUAAUGCUACGAAACAAUCCCAAAAUAGCAACAAUCUGCCACAGUAUUUUUUAAUCUAAUUAUUAUCACCACAUGAUUAAUAUAUAUGUUGUAUGCUAAAAAAAUUAGACAAUAUGUACACAAGUCACAAUAUCCUUUAAUUAAAGGUUUGAAAAGUCAGUUAAGAGAGUUAGUAAAUUCAUUACUUUUAGUCUAUAUGUUUUUGUAAAAUAAUCAAAAUCCCCUCAUGUUUAAAAACAAUUAUAUUAAAUUUAACGUUUUGUAUCUUUUAAUAUUUAUCCCUGAUGAAGUUUUUUUUUUUAAUACUGAUUAAUCAUCAGACUACUGCAUUACACAGAUAUUUACAACAACUGCUAUUAUAGCAGAGAUAUUACACUGAUAUUUACAAUCAGAUAUACAUGAUUGAGACUUACAUUAUUACAUUGAAUUCUAUGAAGUACAUGCCCAGAUAAAUAACCCCUCAUAGGGGAGGGAUGUCCAUACUCCACUCGCAUUUCCCUGAUGAAGUUAAAUCCACUACUGGUUAAUAAAAAUUUCUAGAAACAAAGGACAAGAGUUGGGGGUUUUGUGGGUGAAGUUCUUUAUUCUUAUGGUCUAAUCGAAACCUCAAAUAAAUAAAUAAAUUUGAGAAGAAUAUAUUUAUAAACGGGAUUGCUAGAGUUGUGGUGCGAACCUUGUCUUCGAUGAAUUUAAUCCAAAAUCGAGCAAGAGCUCUAUCAUAAGGAUCGUUUGGCAUCAAGGAGGGAUUCUGUGGCCACAUCUCUUCAAUGUACUCGAGAAUAACCAUGGACUCAGAAACUGGUUUUUCGCCAUGGACAAGCACAGGGAUCUUCUUAUAAACUGGAUUAUACUUCAAAAGCAAAUCACUUUUGUUUGAGAGAUCUUCUGCAACAAAUUCGUAUGGCACGCCUUUCAAUUUCAGAGCCCAAAUCACUCUGUAAACAUAUGGACUCAGCAAUACCCCAUGAAGCUUCACCUCAGUCAUGUUAAUUCUAAGAUUGAAUUUGAUGUUGAGUAUAGCUGAUAAUUUAUUACAUAUGUUUCUGAGUUUAUAGUGAUUUAUGGAAUGUGCUUUCUUUAGCACUUACCUGAAAGCUUCAAAUUUCCAUUAAUAAGACGAUUAAUGAUGAAUUCAAAGAGCCAAUAAGAUUUCAACAAAAUACAUGUUUUCAACUUUGUGUGCAAAUUAAUUACGUCUGUAUUUGGAUGGUUAAUUUAAACUAGUCAGAUAAUUAACCACGCAUUAAUUAAUCAAAUUUUUAUCAUUUAAUAUCUUUGCGUCAGAUGAUCAUUGAUCAAUUAACAAGAUAUUUUCCUUUUGUGCAUGUGUCCACAUUGGAAGUCAAUAUAGUAAUUUGUUAUGAAAAAAAUUCAAUCAAAAUUAUUUUUAAUAUUUUUAAUUUUCUAUCUAACGUAGUGUUUGUUUAGUAUAAAAUAUCUAACGCCCAACAGUGGGAUAACUCCAACAAUUCCCCUCACACAUCGGGUCUUGGGUCAGAAGAUAGACACUCGUUCUCUUUAUUAGAUUGUUGGAUUGAGAUUGUUGGUGAAUGUGGACACUGAUACUAGUGUUAGGUAGUCUUAAACUUCUCUCAACCCCAAAAGCUAGCUUCGGGGGUGAGAUUUUCUUGAUAUUUAUAAAAUCACCAAUAGCCCUUUUCACAACCCAUGUGGGACAACUUCGAUAGUUUGAUUGUAUUUUGAGUAUAACUUUUGAAGAUUAAAUAAGUUAUUUUGUUUCUAUUAGUAAAACCUUAAAAAUUAGAUUUUUGAGAGUGAUAGUCAUAGUACUUAAAGAAUAAAUUGUGUAGAAUACCCUUUUAUUUAUUUAAUGAUCUUAUUCCAUUCCUUUUAUUUUUUUUAUUUCUUUUAUUUUUUAACCUAACAAAAACCUAGUCGCUUCCCCACCCAUUUUAGUAGGGUGCGAAUCUCAGAUCUCUUGCUUUCAGCCAGAUGAUACCCAUAAAUUAGAUCAAAUCCUUUUCAUAAUAUCACUUGCCGCAAUAGUAAAAUUAAACAAAGCAAAAGUACUCUUUUUAACACCAAUACAAAAACAAAACAAGCAUAAAGCAAGACACAAAAUAUUUAAAAAAAAUCAUAAUAUUGCAUCUAUCCAGAUGCCACCAACAUUUUCCAUCAACUGUUUGAAAGAGAUCCUCCAUCUCAUCCUGCUUUGGAAGCUAUUCUUCAAUUAAGGAGACUUGCUUGAAAUUUUUAAACCACUCGUGUGUAAGCUAGGGAAUUUUUAAGAUUCAAAUAGCUUCACUCCCUCUAUGGCUCCAUUUUGUAUAGCUUUUUAAAUAGAAUUUAUUUAAAUAGGCAUUCAAUUAGAAGAGUUUUUACAAAUAGAUCUUUUACCCAAAAAAAAAAUUGUUUAGUUCAUCAGUUGUCAAAAGAGAUUUUAUUAAAAAUUAAAAAUUUAUUUUAAUGUACAAGUUUUCUAAGUUAUGUUGUGAAAUGGAUACGAAUAAAAUAAGAAUAUAAAAUAAAUAAUGGGCAUAAUAGAUAAUUUAAUAAUUUAAAAAAACUUUCUAAUCUCUACCCCAAAAAACUUAAAAUUUGAAUUUUUUCUAAUAGAGUCAAAAUAAUUUAUUUAAUCCCAAAAACUAAAUUCAAAAUAAAACCAAAGAAUAACAAAAAUUUUGAAAAAAAUUUUUAAAAUUAAAUAAAUAUAUAUGACCAUUAAAUAAUCUAAUACUAAACCAGCACUAUACCUUUGAAGGACUUGCAACCCAUCCAAACGCUAGGUCGACUAAGCCAAUAUUGUUCUUGUCCAGUGGUAAAAAAACAUUUUUCCAAACAGCUCCACCCUGCCCCAAUAUAUAUAAAUAAUAUGGAUAAGAUCCUCUCUUUCUUUUUCUUUUUUUUUUCUCCCCUCUCAUACUCUUCAACAAUGUUGAAUUAACAAGUGAUCCUAUUUUUAAUUUAAAAAAGGAGUCAUGUUUUUAUUAAUUUUCAAAUUACAUCUAUGUUUUGAUUAAUUAAAAAGGCCAGCUAAUGGGAUCAUUAAUUUGGUCAACUACUCAGAUAACCGUGCAUCAAUUAUACAAUAGGCAUUUCUUUCCCAAAAUAAUAUAUUACCGUCAUGCAUGACGAUCAUGGAUCACUUGUAAUAGAGAGCUUAGGUGCCCAGCAAGUCAAGUUGCAAGCUGCUGUCUUUGGCCAUACCUUUGAAGCACAAAUACUUCUUUUUAUUCUGGUUUGAUAGUACGGUUAAAAUCAAGGCAUCAAUCAGGAAGGUGCGCAGCAAGUCAAGUCGCCCAGCCGCUGUCUUUGACUGUACCUUUGAAGCACAAGUACUUCUUUUCAUUCUUGUUUGAUAGCACGGUUAAAAUCAACGCAUCAAUCAGGUGGGUGCCCAGCAAGUUAGGUUGCCGAGUUGCUGUCUUUGACUAUACCUUUGACACGCAAAUACUUCUUUUCAUUUUUGUUUGAUAGCAUGGUUAAAAUCAACGCAUCAAUCAUGUACUUAUUGUGAAUCGUUGAAGUAGAUCUACAAUGCAUAAUAAGUAAUAUUUAUUUAAAAAUUGAAGCUUCUAGAUAAUUUCGAUAUAAAUUAAGUUCAGUUUUUACUUCAUCAAGGUGAAACAUCAUAAAGCUUGUAAAUCUAACACAUGAACGUAAAAGCUUUAAAAAAAUUUGAAGUUGCUUGAUAACAUAGAAAUACAAGCAAAAAGAGAUGUUAAAGAAUACAGCCCGAAUUUUUCAUUGGGUGGGAUUAUUGAUCAUGCUAGCAUAAUGAUGAGUUGCCCGAUAAUACCCAAGACUUUCUCGAUAUUAUCAUGUAGAAGGUCAGGACCGCCCACCUACAGCUGUUGUUCAGCACUCAGAGAGACUUUUCACCCGGUUCUUAUGGGGUGACUCUAAGACUAGGCAAUAGAUUAAUUGUUGAUGGCAGUUUGUUAUCCAGUUGAUGAGGGCUGCCUGGGUAUACAAUCUUUUAAUGAUAUGGUUAAGGAUUUUGAGCUUAAGCUUUGGUUGUGUUUUUAGGCGCAGCUUUCAUUAUGGGCUUCUUUUAUGAAGUCUAACUUUUGUACAGCUGCACAUCCGAAUAUGGUUUAGUUUUGAUAUCCUACCUACCCUCUUUGGAGGCACCUAUGCUUGAUUCAAUAUGUUGGUGAGCUUCAUGUGUGUUGGCUGUUUGGCCGAGGGUUGUUUUUGGUAUGAUUGUUAGCUGGUCUCUUGUCCUUUGGCCUUUUAUAAUCAUGUGGUGGCUUUUCUGGUGCCGAUUUCUUUUUAUUAGCAAGAUACAGUAUGAGAUAGGGGUAAGCUUCAGGAUGUCCUACCCUUUUUAAUUGUUGUGCAUAUUCUUUUGAUUCGUAUCUCUAGUGGGGAACCAGAUGUGAUUUUGUACGUGGGACUUUUCUCCUGAUGGUAGUUUUUCCUUGAGGACUACUUCAGAUAUUGUGCAUUGGAUAAGGCCGAGGGAUGAGGCUUUUUUUGUUAUUUGGCAGCGACAUAUCUCUUCGUGGAUAUCCUUUUUUUCUCUAGAGGUUGUGACACAAAUUCUUGACCACAGAUGAUGCCUCGUGUUCGGGGGAUUUCUAAAUACUUUCUUAGUAUCUUUGUGGUCAGGCUUCUGAGACUUCUAGGCAUUUAUUUCUUGAUUGCCCUCGAGUUAGGCCAGUUUGGGUCCAUUUUCUAUGUACUCUUGGUUUGCGCUAUGUUGCUUUUCUGCUCCCCUGUACUUUAUUUCUUAAUUGGUAGUGAUAUGCCCUUUCUUGAAGCCAUAUUCGAGUUCUUCUUCCUUGUUUCAUUUUGUGGUAAGUUUAGAAGGCCUGUCAUGCAUUGAAGUUUGACUUAUUGGCCUUUUUUGUUGAUGCCAUUAUUUAUCGGGCGAUGUUGGAUCUUAGGCUUGCUGGUUUUGCCUUUGGUCUUAAACCAUUCCAAUUGUGAAGAGUUUUAGGUUCUCGGUUUGCAGAGUGCUUGAGAGUUGUUGUUUCAUCUAGGAGGCCGAUUCUUUUAGUUUCUUGGCUGUGGCCACCACCUGGGGCGGUGAAGCUGACUAUCGAUGGUUGCUUUAUGAGUAAUCCUGGGAUCUCUGCUUUAGAUAGUAUUUUACUUGAUCAUCGAGAUGUGGCUUUGGCUGCUUUUGGUUCCUUCCUUGGGCGCUAACCGAUCCUUCAUGCAGAAUUCAUGGUUGUUUUUUAGGGGUUAGAGUUGGCUGCUCAGCUCCAUUAUUCUGUGCUUGAGGUAGAGUCGGACUCAGCCAUUCGGACUAUACCUAUUCUUUGCGUCGAGUGUGUAGUUUGACAUUUUCUUCUACUUCGUGGUUAGUCAUGUGCUUCGGAAGGCUACUUCUACUGCUGAUUGCUUUGGCCUGCACUCUUCAAGGUCAUCGGUGUUUCUUGGGUUCUCAGGAUAUCUCUGCUAGCUUAUCUAAUAAUCUCCGUUUGGAUAUGUGGGUAAUUUCUCAUAUCAGGCAAUAGGAUUUCUUAUUUUUGUAUUCCAUUUUUUAUCUUGUAUUUUUCUCUUUUCCAUUCUUAUGUUCUUGCAAUUGCGGUUUUGAUUUAUAUUCACCUCCUUAUGUAUUUGAUUCAUUCUAUGAUUUAUAUGAAAGAUAGGGGUUCCACCUAACCCCACCUUUUUUGUGGUUAAAAAAAAAAGAUCAGGAAUUCAACCUAAGUCAUCAAGGUGAAACAUCAAACAUGUUGUAAAUUUAACAUAUGAAUGUAAAAGCUUAACAAAACUUUUGAAGUUGCUUGACAACAUAGAAAUACAAUAAAAAAGAGAUGCUAAACAACACAAAAAUUUGAUUUGGGGGGGGGGGGGGGGGGAAGUAUUGUUCAUGCUAGCAUAAUAAUGAGGUGCCUGAGAAUACCUAAGACUUUCUUGAUAAAUAAUAUCAUCUAAAAGGUUAGGAAUCACAUAUGAUUGUCCACGUAUGAACAAACCUAGCUCAAAAUGUGAAAUGUGUUAAGAUUUUCAAACAUUUAAAUUAAUAAUUAAUAAUUUCAGACAAAGGAUACUUGGAGACCCUAAAGUUCACUGAUUCUAUGUUAUGGCUCAUUGUCUCUCUUGACAAUUUAAUUUCUAGAUUAUUUGGCUCUAUCUAUUAAAAGACAACACCGUUACUAAAAUUAUAAAUUAUAACAGUUAAACCUAAACCUACGUCGUUUAGCAAUUUACAAAAGAAAAAAAUAUAACAAAAGCCAAGUGUUGGAGCAGCAACGUGCCAACGAGAAAACCUCAACCCAUGUAAUAUCCUGUGCCAACACCUAAAGAAGAACAAACCAUCACCCUCUAGGCCGUCGCUGCACUAACGCUGGGGCGGAUUUGAAUAGUUAGAAGUUGUAACAUUAAUUAGGGAUUGAGGGUAAAAUUUUGGACUUUGAUUUAAUAAAAUUGAUUUAAAUGAGUCCCAAUAGAAAUAUGAUUAUAAAUAUAUCAAUACAAUUAUAACAUGUGUAAAAGAAAAAAGUUUAUUUUUCACACAAAACAAAAAACACAACCCUUAGAUUUGGGAUGUGUCUAAAAAAUAAUAGGGUGGAAAUAUUAUCACCCUCAAAUUAGAUAUAUAAAUGUUUAAUGUUUUACUCUUAUAAUUUUCUAUAUAUUUUUUUGAAUAUUGUCAAGAGAAAGAUAGAAAUUAAUAUAUAGACAAAUCGAGUCCCUUAUUUUAUUAUUCAUAUCCAUAAAAAGUAACCACUAUGCUAGUCCCCCGAACUUAGCAUAAGACGGUAAUUUAAAAAAAGAAAAAAAAAAGAACGUUUCUAGACACCAAAACAAAAGCAAAACAAACACAAAGCGAGACAUACAAACAAAUUUUAUGCUACUGCAUUCAAGCAGAAGCCAUCAACUGUUCACGACGAAGUUUGAGAGCAACCAAUAGUUCAUCCUGAUUAGGAAGAUUUUCUUCAAUCAAAGUGACUUGCUUGAAAGUUUCAAUCCAGGCAUGCAAGUGAGGGAAUUUGUGUGAUUCAAAUAGUUUAGCUCCCACUAUAUCUUCAAUGACUUGCAACCAAUAAACAAUUGAACCAAACGCUAGGUCCACUAAGCCAAUAUUGUCUCCAUUGAAAAAUUUCUUCUCUCCCAAGCCAUGCUCUUCAACGGUUUGUAGCAUUUCCAAGGCUUCCUUCAUUGUGUUUUGUAGUUCUUGUCUAGUGCUACGAAACAGUUUCCAAACAGCAACACCCUGCCACAAAUAUUUUACAUCUGAUUUUAUCACCGACAUGAUUAAUUAAUAAUAUGUAUAUAAAAGUGAAAAAUCGUUGGACGAUAUGUACACGUGUCACAAUAACCUUUAAUUAGAGGUUUAAUAAGUUAAUUAAGAGAGUUCAACCACUGAGUUGUAAAAUCCUUUAAUUCACUUUCUCCCAAUGCUUCAAAAGUCAUCAAAAUUCCCCGUGAAGUUAAAAACGGUUGUGUUAACUUUAACUUACUACAUCUUUUCAUAUUUAAGGAUAAAACAGUGAAGACACCAGAAAUUGAAAGUUUAGAGAACUUUUUACAAAUAAAUAUGAAGGAGACCCCUGGGUGGCUGGGCUCGACUGGCUAUGAAUUCACUUCCGCCAUCACCCGAGUUUGAGUAUAUAUGGAGAGUAAGAGUUAGUGUUUGGUGGGUGGAUUUCGUUAUCCUCGUCACCUCAUCUAGAUCUUAAAGUAAAUAAAUAAAUAAACACAUUUGAAAAGAAUGAACUUAAUCAUAAACGUGUUUACCAGAGUUGUGAGCGAACCUUGUCUUCGGCGAAUUUAAUCCAGAAUCGAGCAAGAGCUCUAUCAUAAGGAUUAUUUGGCAUCAAGGGAUUCUGUGGCCACGUCUCUUCGAUGUAUUCGAGAAUAACCAUGGACUCACAAACUGGUUUUCCGCCAUGGACAAGCACUGGGAUCUUCUUGUGAACCGGAUUGUGCUUCAAAAGCAAAGCACUUUUGUUUGAGAGAUCUUCUGCAACAAAUUCAUACGGCACGCCUUUCAAUUUCAGAGCCCAAAUCACCCUGUAAACAAAUGGACUCAGCAGUGCCCCAUGAAGCUUCACUUCAGCCAUGAUAAUUCUUAGAUUGAAUUUGAAUAUCAGGUUUUUUGGUCGAUCUUGAGUAUAGCUGAUAACUCAUUACACAUGUUUCUGAAUUUAUAGUGAUUUAUGGUAUGCACUUUCUUGAGCAGAAAGCUUCAAUUUUCCAUUAAUAAAACGAUUAAUGAUGAAUUCAAAGAACUAGUGCGAUGACUUUAAUUAAAUAUUUUUUUACGCUGUGUGCAACCGCAUUUUGAGGUUAAUUUAAAGGAUAUUAUUUUCUCCUGAUAAAAAAUUUUAUAUAAAAAAAUAUAAUUAUGUGAUUGGUAGUUAUUAAGUAAAAAUAAAUUUUGACCGGAAAUAAAUAAAAGUUCAUACAUGUUAUAAAGAUUUUUUAAAACUCAAAUAAGUGGACACAAUUCCUAAUUUAAAACGCUAGCCAAUGAGAUCAAUAAUUUGGUCAACCAGUCAGAGAUAACCAUACAAUAAUUAAUCAAAAUUUUGCCAUUUGUUUUACAUUUAAGACCUUUGCGUCAUGCAUGAUGAUCAAUUGACCAUAUAUCAAUUAAUCAACAAGACAUUUGCCUUUUGUGCAUGUGUUCACAUUGGACGCAAAUAUAAUUUGUUAUAAAAAAAAUUGGACUAAAUUAUUUUUAAAUACAUUUUUUUAAAAAUAAUCACCUGAUCAUAGAGGACCUGUUAUUUAGUUCGUGAAUCUUAUAACAGGACCCAUGAUUUUUUUUUUAAAUCUUAUCAGUCCCCUAUUAUUUAAUUUGUGGAAUUGACGGAGGUAACUUACAGUUUCAUUUUUGUAAUUUACAGCUUUCAAUAAAUUCAUAUAAUAUUAGGCGGUAAAAGUCGGCCAGGCUGGAGGAGUAGAUUUCUCUUUGUACAUCAACUUUUAUUUGACGCUGGGUUUUUUUUCGACCCAUAAUAAUUUCUCUUUGUACAUCAACUUUUUAAUAAAAACUUUUAUUGUCAAGAUAAAUUGUUAUUAAUUACUUCACUAAUCCUCCUUUUUUUUGGGCCAAUUUCUCUUUCGUAUCUGACAAAAUUUAAUUCACAUCAUGUGAUAGUAUGAUUGCAAAUAAAUUUGAAGUUAUCUCUCGCAAGUUGUUCAAAAAUACAUUGACAUAUCUUGUAUAUAGAACUAAAGAACAAUAGCAAACCGCUAUCCUCUAGCCGAUCGCAUUAGGACGGCAAAAUUAGUCGUAAAUAUGUAAAUUUGUCUAAACCCAUCUACAAAAAUCUGUCCACUGCGAAUAAUUUUGGAGGUUACGGAUAAGUUCGGUAUUUUAAAUUUAAGUUCGUUGCAGGUUACGGAUAGAUUUAGUAUUGAGAAAAAAUUUGGCGGGUGUCUGCCGACUAGCAUUUUUUUAAUUAUUUAUGUCUUUUAUUUUAGUCAGAAAGAUUGUCUUAAAAAAAUUUAAUCAUAAAAAUAUAGUAGUUAAAGUUAUUACUCUAAUAUUCCAAAUUCCUAAACCUAAACUAACUCAUUACAGUUGCACACCCUACUCCUUCAAGUAUGUAUGUAUGUAUGUAAAUGUAUACACACGCACACACACAAAAAAUAAACUUUUAAUAAGUAGAUUUAGUGUUUUUCAAGUUUAAUAUUAAUGAUAUUUUAAUUUAAUUUAAUUUAAUUACUUUUGUUUGUUUGGCUUUAAUGACCCGAACUUAGUGAUUGCUGGUUAAGAUUGGAUUUUUAUUUGUCUAAUUAAUGGUCAAUAGUUGUCCAAAAUAUAUUUGGUAAUAUUGUUGACAAUACUUGUAUAUUAACUAAAAGAUAGGGCAAGACAUUAAUCUUAGUAAUGAUUAUUUGCCUACAACAAAAAUAUUUUGUGGUAGAAUGAUAUAUUUUGUGUAUUUGUUUUAAUAUUGAAACUUUAAUUUCUCUUUUACAUUGGUAAAAUCUAAAAUUAAGUAAUUUAUGUAGAUUUUUUUGGCUGUUACUAUAAAGUUAUAUUUUGAAUUAUAUAAUUCAAAUUAUUAAAUAUAAUUUUUUUAAUAUUUGUGAUUUUAAAUAUAAAAAUUUAUAUAUAAAAAAAAAACCUACUGCAUGUUAUGGGUGGAUUUGCUAAUUAUUAAAAAUUAUAGCGAACGAACUAAGGCAACCGGUUACUGGCGAGUUUAAUAAUGACAAACCCAUAAUAAGUGAUUCCCAUUACCAUCAGCAGCUUCUGUAACACAGGGCCGGAGGCGGUCUUGAAUUGUUACAAGUUGCAACAUUAAAUAGCAAAAUUUUCAGCCGCAUCCCUGAAGUUUAGACAUAGAAUUAGAUAUAUCCCCUUGUUUUCAAAAAAUUAGUUUCUGAUUCCCAUGUUGUUUACAUUUUUUUUUUUUUUCCAUUUCAAUUGGAUAUACAACUUCGUAAUGUUGCGCCUUGUAGAAUGUAUGCUUAAAAUGCGUGCUUCUUAUUUUUUAUAUACUGCUAAGAGAAGUUGAGUAUAGAAAUAUAUAAAAUGGAGUCUCAUUUAUUAAUUAUUUAUAUCCACUAAAUAGCACCUAACAUGCAGCUUACUUCAAUGGUAAAAUUAAUUAAACAAAAUAGAAAGAACAUUUUUAACACCAGUACAAAAACAUAACAAGUGUAAAAGAAGACUCACUAACUUAUUUUAUGAUAUUACAUUCGCGCAGGUACCACCAAUGUUUCCCGACCACGUUUGAGACCACCAACUCACGCCGAUUUAGAAGAUUUUUUUUUUAUUAAAAGGGGCUCAACAGAACGAGCUAAGCCGGAACAAAGCGGGGUUGAGUAACCAUGUUUUGCAAUAUAAUUGAAUAAAUACCCACAGGCAGGCUAGUAAAUAAAUGCAAACCAUGAGGAACUGAAUGAGCCAUAUUAGCCAUGAAAUCCACAGCUGAAUUCGCUUAACGAAAGAUGUGUAUGAUAGAAAUUUGCCAGUUUCUACUUAAUAAUUCCUGAACAGCAACAACUAUAGCAUAAAAAGCAUUAGGCACGACCACCUGCUUAGAAAUUAUCUGUGAAACACAGAGACUAUCAACUUCCACCAAAAGAUUUUCUAUAAGUAUAUAAGUUAAAGUUAUUACUCUAGUUUUCAAAAUUCUUAAACCUAAUCUAACUAAUUAUAGCUGCACGCCUUGCUCCUUCUAGUAUAUGUAUAUAUUUUAAGAUGAAGACAAUAACUUUUUAAUAAGUAGAAUUUUGUACUUUUCAAGCUUAAUAUUAAUUAUAUUUUAUUUUAUUUUAACUACUUUGAAUUGUUUUGCUUUAAUGACUUGAACAUAUUGAUUGUUUGCUAAACUUGAAUUUUUAUUUGUCUAAUUAAUUGACGAUAGCAGUUGUAUAAAAUUUAUAAAGACAAAAUCUAAAUAGAUUACAAAAAGAUUUAGUAAUGACAAACCUACAGCAGCCAAUACCCAUUACCAUCCCUAGCUGCUAUAAUGCAGGGACAUGGGCGGUCUUAAUUGUUAGAAGGUUCAAAAUUAAUUAGCAAAAUGUUCAGUGGUAUCCUUGAAUUUUAGCAUAGAAUUAGAUAUAUCCACUAGUUUUCAAAAUUAGUUAUAUAUAUAUAUAUUUCAAUUGGAUAUAUAACUUUGUAAUGUUGCGCCUUAUAAAAAUGUAUGCUUAAAACGCAUGCUUAUUACUUUUUAUAUGCUGUUAAGAGAAACUGAGAAUAAAAAUAUGUAAAAUGGAGUUUCAUUUAUUAAUUAUUUAUAUCCAUUAAAUAGCACCCAACAUACAGUUCGUCUCAAUAGUAAAAUGAAUUAAACAAAGUAGAAAGAUCUGUUUUAGCAUCAGUACAAAAAUAAAACAAGCACAAAGCAAGAAUCACAAACUUAUUUUAUGAUAAUACAUUCACGCAGAUGUCACCAAUGUUUCCCGACGACGUUUGAAAGCGAUCACCAUCUCAUGCUGAUUUGGAAGAUUUUCUUCAAUUACAGGGACUUUCCUGAAAUUUUCAAACCACUCAUGCCAGCUUGGGAAUUUGUGAGAUUCAAAUAGUUUCACUCCCAUUACAUCUUCAAGGACCUGCAACCAAUAAGCAAUGGCUCCAAAUGCUAGGUCCGCUAAGCCAAUAUUGUCUCCAUUGAAAAACUUC
rnacentral:lncRNA from 1 species